GGAUCCAUCAAUUGAAAGACUGACAGUCAGUUCUGGAAAACCUCUGGUAUUGCUUUGCAUUGUUGGCUGCAAAAUCUCUUUUUCAUUUUUACAUUCGUCAUAAUUCUUGUAAGAUAAUCUUGAAUGAACGAAAACAAGUGCCGGAUUAUGCUCCAUCAUUUGUCCAAGGGACAUCAACGAAGUAUGUGUAUUUGUGUUCACAGAUUCUGAGGAUAUUAUGUUGCUUGGUUUUCCAUGUUUUGUAACAUAUCAGCUAAAUAAUGUAGGCUGUUUGGUCGCUUGUGGUGGGAUGAAUUUGUGCAUACUGUAGUAACAAGAGCAGAGCCUCACAGCCAAGUUUUAGCCCUUCACAUCCUUUAUCUUUCAAAAAAUCUUUUGAAAUCUUGACGAAAAUACUAACUUGGUUAAAUAUACAAAUUCUUUGGAUUCCUUCAUCCAAUGCAAGAUAGAGUGUACCGUGCGUAAAAACGCUCUGUUACAAGGAUUUCCCGACUGGUACAGGCUAUGUGGGGGUGUCAAAGAAAGGUACAUACAGGUAGGAAAUGUUGUUGCAUUUCCGGUGUCUAUUGCUUUGGGGCAGAUGUUGGCAAAGGCCAGCUAGGGAGUCCCUAGCAAAGAACCAGUAAUAGAGAUUCCUGUGAAGUUCCUUCUUUGUCUUGCGGUACUCUUGGAAUGAAUAAAUUUCUCUGUUGAUUAAUUCUGGAAAAACAGGGUUCAUUGCGGGAUUGUCGAUUACCGCUUGCUCAAGGCACAAUAACUUUGUUCAGCUCCAAGGCUGGUUUGCUUAGAAGGGAGAAUUGCUACUUUUUUAUGAGCUUAGGCCCAAUUGGAGUCUUGAUAAAUUCCUGUACCAAGAAUCUGAAGAGGGGAAUCCCCCAUAGAUACAAUAUUGCAGUUGGGUUGGCCUGCAUAAGAAUGUGAGCCACUUGUGAUUCACAGAGGCAUAAAGACUAGCAACAUAAUACUAGAUGCGAGUUUCUACCCGAGGCUUGGUGAAUUUGGAUUAGCUAGGUUGAUGGAUCAUGACAAGAGAGCCUUGUGUCGACUGUAACGGCCGGAACCAUGGGGUGUUUGGCUCCAGUGUAUCUUCAAUAUAGGAAAGCAACUUAGAGAACCGAUGUUUUCAGCUAUAGAGUUGUGAUUCUUGAUGUGGCAUGCAGAAAGAGGCUGAUCGAUAUAGAAAAUUGUUGCCAAAAGAUGGUGAAUUUAGUUGAUUGGGUGUGGUGGUUGUAUUCAGAAGGGAAGGUGAUUGAGGCGGCAGAUGAGAGGCUAAAGGGGGAGUUUGAGGAGGGGUAAAUGUAGAAGCUUUUGCUUCUGGGCUUGAGCUGCGCAAAUCCUGAUAGCUUGGCAAGGCCUUCUGUGAGGAAGGUUUCGCUGAUUUUGAACAAUAAGGCAGAGAUGUUUGUCAUGCCGAGAUUGAACCCGAGUCUCAGUUUCUCUUGUGGAGUGUCAUUGAGUCUGGAAGACAUUGUUUCGGUUGCGGAAGAGGAAAAUCAGACACCAAGGCCCAUGUGGUGACAUAGUAGUGGUCAUUUUCCCUUUUCAUUCUUUUGUUUUUUGUAUGUUGUUCAUAUGGAGAAAUAGUGUCUGGUGUUCUUUUUGGUUCUAUUUGGCCAUGUCUAGAUGAAAUAAGUUCAUCGGCGAAUUGGUUGGU